rnacentral:rRNA from 1 species
CUCUCUGCACAGGCGACGAGGGAGUUCCUGAAUCUGUGGGAGGAAACACAAAAUAUUCAGUUAACACAAGAGCCCGAUCGAGUUCAGUGGAAAUGGACAGCAAACGGCAUAUACACGGCGAGAUCGGCUUACAAAAUUCAGUUUGAGGGCUGCACUCGGCCUUCGUGGGCUGCGUUCCUUUGGAAAUCGGAUGCACCGGGCAAAUGCAAGCUUUUUGCAUGGUUGGCUCUGCUGGGACGCUGCAACACGUCCGAUGUUCUUGCGAGGAAAGGCUGGCCUCACAAUCCGUCUUGCUCUCUCUGCAAUGGGCCAAUGGAAGAUGUCGUGCACCUGCUUGCUUCCUGUCCCGUCUCCAUCCGAAUUUGGCACGACAUCAUUGCUCGCUGCAACCUUCAUCCAGGCCUCGCUCCCUCCACCACCACAACCUCCCUGAUGCGUUGGAUCGACCAGUCCAAUGGCAUCCUUACGGCAUCAGCAAAGAAGCCAUGGAGCGCACUCGUGCAGCUGGUCUGGUGGUCGAUAUGGAACGAACGCAACGCAAGGAUUUUCAGAAACCAACCAUCGCCGCAGACGACGGUGGUGGAACGGAUGAUUGAAGAAGCAGCGGUAUGGCAGAGAGCGGGACGAGGCAAGGCCAUCUCCCUCCUCAACGGACCAAGAGAACCAGACUAG